rnacentral:lncRNA from 1 species
AUUUUCCUUAUUUAGUCAUCCACCAGAAGCCAUAAACAAGAAUCUGGAAUGUGGAUGAACUGCAAAACCAUUAAUGUUUUUUUUUUCUUAGAAACUUUCCAGAAAUAUUAAUUGAAAGGUUCAAUGUCCAGGACCAAAUAUUAGGGAAGAAUUUAGAUUACUUAUCUUGUGUUUCAUAAGCUAAUGCGGAAACAUCAAAGGAGAUGGCAACAUCAUGUUUGGUUUCAUGAUGCAGUGGAAAGCUAUCACUGUGCAGAGAUUCUCAGUAUGUUUUUGAUCAUUGAAACAGUUGUUUUGGAAAUGAGAAGUUGUAGAAAUGAUCCCUGUUACUUCUCUCCUUCACAGAUCCCUGCUGUCAUAAGUCCUUACAUGCACGACAGAGAAAGUGGUAGCAAGUUAGAGCAGGACAGUGACCUGGAAGCCUUCAGAACAAAGGCACCUUUUAAAGUGGGACAGUACAAGAUCUCUUAUUGCUUGAGGCUGGAAGCAGAGCACUGCUCCCCUACCUUCUAUGGCAUGAUUCUUAGUGGCACAAGCCACCAAAAGAAGCCCUGGUCCAUCCUCUCUGCUCCACCACUCCAAGACCACCCUUGCCAUUCCCAUCAUAUGCAUUGCCAGCUGUUUCUAGAAGCCAUCAGCUUAUUCAGUAACAUUUGACUGAACAGGGUCUUCUGCUGUUCUCUGGGUUCAGGUUUGUUUGGUGCCAGGCAUUGAAAAUUGGAAGAUUGUCACUUGGUCACCGGCUGCUCUUCCUUUUUCCCAUCUUCUGAUUCUUUUGGUGGUGUAUAGAAAAGAGGAGAGUCUGUCUUGUGGCAGCACCAGCUUCACCUGCAACCCCCUCCCCCCGAUGAUCUUAGUUUGGCCAGUGGUAGAGUUCCCUGUCGACCAUUCCAAACCUACAGGUUGAUAACUAAGUUUGAUGACUCUUUCCUGGUCAUAGCUUAUGGAUUUUGGGUUGAGUGUCAUUGGGGAGUUUGUAUUCUGCAAACAUCAGCCAAAAUUGACCCCUGCAAUCUCACUUGAGCACAUGAUUCUUUCAACAGUAGCAACUGCUAUUCAUGGAAACAGUACAUUGUUGCACCACUGGAUGGCAAUAUUUAGGCAGUAAUCCUGGUCUAAAUGUAAAAUAAGUAUCAAGAGGAGAAGAAAACAAAAUGCAAUGGUUAUUGGUUCUUGUGUAGAGGAUGACUUUCCAUAUUUAUGUGUUUGACUUAAUGCAGAUUGUUUUGGUAAAAAUAAAGCUGGAGAACAGUGAUUAAGCA